GCAGACUCACUCUGUGCCUGACUGCAGUCUUCAGUCCAGGGGCUUUUUCAGUCUGCUAGAGUAAUGGUCCCUGGUUUGAGAACUCUUCUUUCCUUGUAGAAGACUUGCAAUUGCUCCUGGGACAUAAUU
rnacentral:snoRNA from 1 species